GACGGCAGGAACGCGAACAACGCCUGGAAUCAAAAAGACGGAAUGAAAAAAGCAACAUAGUAUUUGCCUUUGGUAGUUCCACACCUCGUAUGUUGGAUCCCAAAGAUGGUGUCAGUACAUUCUGGGGAUCACGCAGGGCUACCUCCACGACAAAUGUCCACUUAGCAGAUACCAAUAUCAGUAGGCGAGCAUCUGAAGGUGGAGACAUGGACCUAAGCCGUAAGCGCGCCACUUCGGCCCACAGCCUCGACAGGAAGCCAGAAG
rnacentral:lncRNA from 1 species